UACGUAGGGGGGCAAGCGUUGUCCGGAUUUACUGGGCGUAAAGAGCGCGUAGGCGGAAGCUUAAGUGUGGCCUGAAAGCCCCCGGCUCAACCGGGGAAGGUGGCUGCAAACUGGGCUUCUUGAGGGGGAUAGGGGAAAGUGGAAUUCCGGGUGUAGCGGUGAAAUGCGUAGAGAUCCGGAGGAACACCAGUGGCGAAGGCGGCUUUCUGGGUCCGCCCUGACGCUGAGGCGCGAAAGCGUGGGGAGCGAACAGG
rnacentral:rRNA from 1 species